rnacentral:misc_RNA from 1 species
AACUCCAACAAAACACUUCUUUAAAAGGAACCAAGGAGAUUCCCCUAGAAGUUAAGGUGUUAUGCGCUCUUAGUUUCCUAGCCACAGGAUCCUACCAGCGAAUUGUUGGCGUCACUCACCAUCUUGCCCAACGCACAGCUAGUUGGUGCAUCAGACAAGUUGUUGAUGCUUUGAACCACCCAGCUGUCAUGGCAAAAUGGAUUGUGUUUCCGAAAACACGACAAGAUAGAGCGUUAAUAAAACAAGAGU